UCUGGUUGAUCCUGCCAUAUGCUACUCUCAAGGACCAAGCUAUGCAAGCGUCAGAAUACCUGGGAUUGAGAGUGAAUCUGUGAAUGGCUCUUUACACCGGCGACAGUCUGAUAACUGUGCACUGAUUGCUUGGGGCUCUCAUGGUCCCCUGAGGUAUCGGUCCGGAUACUCACCUCAAUUGGGUGGCUAAGGCAUGGAAGCUCU
rnacentral:rRNA from 1 species